GUCGAGUUGCCAGAGUGGUUAAUGGGUAUGGUAAGCGUAACCAACAUAUCCCUCUUUAUAAUUUGUCUUAACAAACAAGUAGACUCGAAUCAAGUAGAUAUCAUAUGGUUUCGGCCGCGUAGGUUCAAAUCCUGCACUCGACG